rnacentral:rRNA from 1 species
GACGAACCGUGCGAACGUUAUUCGGAAUCACUGGGCUUAAAGCGCGUGUAGGCGGAAGAGUACGUCCGUCGCUGAAAUCCCCCGGCUCAACCGGGGAAGUGGCGCGGAUACGGCUUUUCUGGAGGGGCGUAGGGGGACCUGGAACUUCCGGUGGAGCGGUGAAAUGCGUUGAGAUCGGAAGGAACGCCCGUGGCGAAAGCGAGGUCCUGGACGCCUACUGACGCUGAGACGCGAAAGCCAGGGGAGCGAACGGG